AUGCUCACAAGGGUCCCUGUCCUCAUUUUGGCUGUCAUUGUGAUGUUGGCAUUGUGCCAAGAGCCUGAGAAACCUGAGAAACGGCCGGCGUUGCUGUCCCGAUACGGACGAGCUGUUCUUCCACGUUAUGGAAAAAGGUCGGGCAAUUUGAUGGAAUCGAGUCAGAAUUCUUUGACAGAAAUGCCCAGCAUUCUUCAAAAAUGUCUCAUUCUCAUUGUUCUUUCGUGCCUUCUAUUUGACUGUGCCGGCAUGCACCUCAAAGAAAAACGUCCUCCUCACCUCUACCACCAGCACCAUAAACCAUCAAAAGCUUGAACCAGCAACAACUCUAUCACCUAUAAGGCAACGACGAAGGUGUCUAUUUCAAAUUGAUUUUGCAUAUUUGACCGUUUGCCCCAGUAAAUGUCAGGAGGGCACUGAUACCGGAAAAGUGGCCGACUACCUUCUGAGUUUGGGAUGUUCGGAUAUGGAUGUAAUUGAGCGGGAAAUGAAAAGAGUGUGUUGUCCUGAGUAA
rnacentral:misc_RNA from 1 species